UUUUUUUCUUUUUUUUUGUAAAUUAUAAAAAAAAUCUUUAAAUCUCUUAUAGAAAAUGGAAGGGGCAGACGAUGUAGAUAAUCUUAUCCUACACACUGAAAUACCAUGUGUGGACUUUAAACUCCGCUUAUUAUCUGAUGCCAUUUCUACUGUCAUGGUCUAAGCCGUUUAUCAAGUGGGUCCCACUUUAAAUCGAUGACCCGUCUUCAGACUAGGCGGGUCUGCUCUCCAAUGCAUACUGUAUUCUGAUUUGUGGACCCGAUUUGCAAGAAUCCCCUGUAAAAUGUGUGCGGCUUCGGUGGAUCCCUGACUGUUGGGCUCUCCCUAAUGUAUGUGCCUUACAUCCACACUGUCCAUCUGUUUUGGCAGCUCCUUUUUAAGGCAAGAUCCCAAAAAUAAAGCAGAUCCAAAUCUUAGGUGGACCACACCACAGGAAACAGUGGUGAUUGAAUACAAGACUAGAAGCGUCUUGGUGGCUGGCUGAAUGCUUAUUUGCCAUCUAACCUGUUGAUAAGGUAUCAAAGACCUGGAUGAAUGUACCACACAAAUGUCAGCUUGAUCCAAAACAGUUGUGGUCCACAAGAAGUUUUUAAUGGUCAAUCACCUGUUUUCUUUGGUGUGGUCCACCUGAUACUUGGAUCUUCUUCAUUUUUGGGAUCAUGCCCUAAAUAGAGCCAUCAAAACUGAGGAUGGUGUGGAUGUAAUGCACAUACAUCACAGUAGCCCCACAGUCAGGGAUCCAGCCACCUUGGUGGAUCUGAGGAUCCACUGAAGCCUCCCUGUAAAAGCUGUGGGGCCUACCUUGAUGUAUGUGUCGUAUCCACUUUGUACAUAGAUUGUUUCGGCCCAUAUUUUUCUGUAGAUGAUCUUAACCGUCCAUAUUAAAUAACACUAAUUAAGUGGUUUAUAUCAAUGGACAGUCUGAUCAAUUGAUUGAAGCAUCUCUCAUUUCUUUAUUGACAUUGAAAUUAAGUGCUAUUUGAUUUUAUUUGGAAAUUUUGAAAGCGUAUUUUGAGGAGGCAAGUGAUGAUAUACAAUCUUAUCCUACACACCGAAUUAUCAUGUGGACUACAAACUCCGCUUAUUAUCUGAUGCCUUCUUAAAUCAAGCCUAUUUAUAAGAUGUGUGUUAUUUUCACAUUUGUGUUUAAUCGAUAUUUGGAUGAUGGUAUAUGUAGUUGAAGGUGGAAUUAUAUUUACAUGCUGGUUGUAGAGUCAUCGAUAUUGUUUUGUAAACUCUGUGAUGAGAAAAGCAGACGGGCGGUCAGAAUCUGAUGCCAUGUUGAAUGUCUGCAAAUUUCCAUUUGGAACAUCUGAGAGUGAUGAAGAUGCUGAAAUUUAUGUCUGGACAUCUGAGACCCGUCUAUGAUUGGCAAAAUGCUUCUUCUGAGCAAUUUCAAGAUUUUAAUGUUUCCUUUUCCCAGUUCUUUUCUCUUUAUUUAUUUAUUUUAAUUUCAUCGUCUUCUUUUUUCGUGUUCUGUUUUGUGGCACUGAAGUUCGUGAAAUAUCAUGAAAAUUUGCUCCUAAAUAGAAAGAUUCAUGAAAUUUCUUGAUAGUGCAAUCAAAUGCCAAACUCCCCCCUAAAUAAAAUUGUGUGUUUUUUGUCACCAUAUCUGAUUUUAUGAUAAAGUUCUAUUUUGUAAGCAGGAUUAAAGAUAAUCUUGAUAGCCAACCAACAUGAUCUCGUGUACUCAUUUCAAGUGUUCUGCCAAACAGGCUGCUGGAUCCCAAUAAGAUUUUAUAAAUCUCAGUGAAUUGGAAGUGCGUGCCCUAGUAGCGAAAUUUUGGCUGAAUUUUCCAAAGUGAGGUUUCUGUACCUCUGAAAUAUUUCUGCCCUCUGUUCUGAUGGUUGGGCUACCUGUUUGAUGUGGUCCAUCGUGGUCAAAUGCAGACGACGGUAGAUGAUAGGAUUGGGCUGACAAGUCUUUUGCUGCAUUUUCUCAAUAAUUUUCAGGGUGUCCUACAAUAUGGUGGGAUCUUUUAAUGAUAGAAGGUUAUGUGAAUGCAUCUUCUGGAAUGCGCCCACUCAAAUCAACGGCUUGGAUUAAGUCCCAUAGUGAGCGUUUGCUGGUGUUCAGUGACCCUGUAAUUCCGUUCAUGUGGACACAUCCAUGGCUGGCUCUGCCAACUUUAUAUAUUUCAUUUGGAUUAGUGGUGGCAAUGCUCUUAUGGGACAAAAGAGGGGAACGGAUUAGGUGCAUCCCCGUCCUCAACCAAGAUGGUCCGUUCUUAAUUCCCGUCCCCAACCAGAAUGGUCCUGCCCUUGCGUGUUGCCCACCUAGCUGUAUGUGUUGUCCUCAUCCAAGAUAGAGUGUGGCCAUUACAUGGUGUGGUCCUUCCAUGGGACUCACCUUUAUGCAUGUGUUCUGUACUUCCAUUUUUCUAGUUCCAAUUUUUGUGUAAUAUUGCAAUUUUAACCAGGACCAGCUUGAGGCUGUCAACCCCAUCUGUUGCUUUGGAAGUCAUAGAAACUAUUCAUAUUUAAGGUAAAAUUUUAAUGAAAUUUAUUUGGUUCCACUUC